UCCUAUUGGUUGUGCCAUAUCUGGCUUCGAGUCGUGACCAUAUACUCUAGGCAGUUUCAGAGUAUUGAACACUUUCAGCAAUUUGAGGGGACAGAGAGGCAGUCAACUAGGAGAUGACCAUGUUAUUGCAUCUGUCACAUAGUCUCUGUGCAGUCAGAUUAGUGGUUGGUCUAUGACAAGAUCCAUCAACAAAAGCAAUUUUGUUCUUAGCAAAUAAGGUGACUAUCACCUUUCUCCUCCAAUCCCCAUAGCCAUUACCCGAGAAGGGGAUAGGAACAAGAGAAAUUCCGGGGACAUCAGAAGAGUAAACAAAUAGGAGAUUUGUAGGGUCAAUAGGUGGGGGAUUAACAGGGUUCACAUCCGCCAUCAAAUACAAGAUAAUAAGGAUGAAAAAGAGAGAGAUACAAUAACUAUGAGCAACACAAUACAGCAACAAAGUUACAUGCAAGCCCUAAUCUAGUGGGAUAAUAGGGUUACCAGGCUUCUACGCAACCGGAGAAUAUGAGAAAAAAAAUUGAUUCAAUAUCUGUGAACUACAAGAUACAAUAGAUUGUCCAGCAAAAACACAUGCAAGCUCUUAACGAGAGUGAGAAUAGGGUUACCCGACUUCUACGCUACCAGAGAAGAACGACCUUCAAAAGUUCAGAGAAAACCCUAGCUUUGUUCAGUGUAAAUCCAACGCCACUAAAACUAUCGGAAUCAAACACGAAAGGUGUCAGAAGUUCACCCUAAACACCACGCUUGAAGAAGAAACAACAAUCCACAAAAAAACUGAAAGCAUAUCCGAUUCCACCAACAAAUCGAAAAAAAAUCAGAAUCACCACCAACAAAUCGAAAAAUCCAAAAUCACCACCGAUAAUUUAAUAAAGAUGAACCGGAAGAACCGAGAAGAGAAAGGAUACAUCCGAGAAGGUGAACCAUGCUCUAAUACCAUGUAAACAUGGAGAAUCGGAGAUGAAGAAGAUAGAGAAUUCAUCUCUUU
rnacentral:lncRNA from 1 species